rnacentral:rRNA from 1 species
UGCAAGUCGAGCGAAGCUUUUCAGUAGUUUACUACAGAAAAUGACUGAGCGGCGAACGGGUGAGUAACGCGUGAGCAAUCUACCUUAGUUACAGGGAUAGCCCGAGGAAACUCGGAUUAAUACCUGAUAUUCUUUACAUUUCGCAUGAAAUCAAAAGGAAAGGUCAGCCGAACUAAGAUGAGCUCGCGUUCUAUCAGCUAGUUGGUGAGGUAAAAGCUCACCAAGGCAACGACGGAUAGCUGGUCUGAGAGGACGAUCAGCCACACUGGGACUGAGACACGGCCCAGACUCCUACGGGAGGCUGCAGCAGGGAAUAUUGCGCAAUGAGCGAAAGCUUGGCGCAGCGACACCGCGUGUGGGAUGACGGAUCUAGGUUUGUAAACCACUUUCAGGAGGGAAGAAAAUGACGGUACCUCCACAAGAAGCCCCGGCCAACUACGUGCCAGCAGCCGCGGUAAUACGUAGGGGGCGAGCGUUGUCCGGAUUUAUUGGGCGUAAAGAGCUCGUAGGUGGUUCAACAAGUCGGUCGCAAAAGUUCAGGGCUCAACCCUGAAAUGUCGAUCGAUACUGUUGUGACUAGGAUACGGUAGAGGUGA